rnacentral:rRNA from 1 species
CUACCAUGCAGUCUCUUGAUCCUUCGGGUGAAGGUGGCGGACGGGUGAGUAACGCGUAAAGNUCUUGCCUUACAGACUGGGACAACAUUUGGAAACGAAUGCUAAUACCGGAUAUUAUGACUGAGUCGCAUGAUUUGGUUAUGAAAGCUAUAUGCGCUGUGAGAGAGCUUUGCGUCCCAUUAGUUAGUUGGUGAGGUAACGGCUCACCAAGACGAUGAUGGGUAGCCGGCCUGAGAGGGUGAACGGCCACAAGGGGACUGAGACACGGCCCUUACUCCUACGGGAGGCAGCAGUGGGGAAUAUUGGACAAUGAACCAAAAGUCUGAUCCAGCAAUUCUGUGUGCACGAUGAAGUUUUUCGGAAUGUAAAGUGCNUUUCAGUUGGGAAGAAGUCAGUGACGGUACCAACAGAAGAAGCGACGGCUAAAUACGUGCCAGCAGCCGCGGUAAUACGUAUGUCGCAAGCGUUAUCCGGAUUUAUUGGGCGUAAAGCGCGUCUAGGCGGUUUAGUAAGUCUGAUGUGAAAAUGCGGGGCUCAACCCCGUAUUGCGUUGGAAACUGCUAAACUAGAGUACUGGAGAGGUAGGCGGAACUACAAGUGUAGAGGUGAAAUUCGUAGAUAUUUGUAGGAAUGCCGAUGGGGAAGCCAGCCUACUGGACAGAUACUGACGCUAAAGCGCGAAAGCGUGGGUAGCAAACAGGAUUAGAUACCCUGGUAGUCCACGCCGUAAACGAUGAUUACUAGGUGUUGGGGGUCGAACCUCAGCGCCCAAGCUAACGCGAUAAGUAAUCCGCCUGGGGAGUACGUACGCAAGUAUGAAACUCAAAGGAAUUGACGGGGACCCGCACAAGCGGUGGAGCAUGUGGUUUAAUUCGACGCAACGCGAGGAACCUUACCAGCGUUUGACAUCCCAAGAAGUUAACAGAGAUGUUUUUCGUGCCUCUUCGGAGGAACUUGGUGACAGGUGGUGCAUGGCUGUCGUCAGCUCGUGUCGUGAGAUGUUGGGUUAAGUCCCCCAACGAGCGCAACCCCUUUCGUAUGUUACCAUCAUUAAGUUGGGGACUCAUGCGAGACUGCCUGCGAUGAGCAGGAGGAAGGUGGGGAUGACGUCAAGUCAUCAUGCCCCUUAUACGCUGGGCUACACACGUGCUACAAUGGGUAGUACAGAGAGCUGCAAACCUGCGAGGGUAAGCUAAUCUCAUAAAACUAUUCUUAGUUCGGAUUGUACUCUGCAACUCGAGUACAUGAAGUUGGAAUCGCUAGUAAUCGCAAAUCAGCUAUGUUGCGGUGAAUACGUUCUCGGGUCUUGUACACACCGCCCGUCACACCACGAGAGUUGGUUGCACCCCUGAAGUAANCAGGCCUAACCCGUAAGGAGGGGAUGUUCCGAGGGU